rfam:Aedes albopictus isolate Foshan contig5168, whole genome shotgun sequence.
UAGCCUAGCAGUUAAGGCUAUGGAUCGGCAAUCCGGAGACGGCGGGUUCGAUUCCCGU